rnacentral:rRNA from 1 species
AUUGAACGCUGGCGGCAGGCCUAACACAUGCAAGUCGAGCGGAGCGGCGGACGGGUGAGUAAUGCCUAGGAAUCUGCCCGGUAGUGGGGGAUAACGUCCGGAAACGGUCGCUAAUACCGCAUACUAUCAGAUGAGCCUAGGUCGGAUUAGCUAGUUGGUGGGGUAACGGCCUACCAAGGCGACGAUCCGUAACUGGUUUGAGAGGACGAUCAGUCACACUGGAACUGAGACACGGUCCAGACUCCUACGGGAGGCAGCAGUGGGGAAUUUUGGACAAUGGGCGAAAGCCUGAUCCAGCCAUGCCGCGUGUGUGAAGAAGGUCUUCGGAUUGUAAAGCACUUUUAGUAGGAAAGCGUUACCGGCAGAAUAAGCACCGGCUAACUUCGUGCCAGCCGCCGCGGUAAUAC